rfam:Geoglobus ahangari strain 234, complete genome.
GCGGGGGUUGCCGAGCGGUCAAAGGCGCGGGAUUUAGGGUCCCGUGGCGCAGGCCUUCGUGGGUUCGAAUCCCACCCCCCGCA